rnacentral:rRNA from 1 species
GACGAACGCUGGCGGCGCGCUUAACACAUGCAAGUCGAACGGAAAGGCCUGCUUUCCCUUGUGGAUUGCGGGUACUCGCGUGGCGAACGGGUGAGUAACACGUGAGUGAUCUGCCCCCAACUUGGGUAUAAGCCUGGGAAACUGGGUCUAAUUCCCGAUAGGACUGCAGGGUGGUGCCUGUGGUGGAAAACGAUUUUCUAGUGGUUGGGGAUGAGCUCGCGGCCUAUCAGCUUGUUGGUGGGGUAAUGGCCUACCAAGGCGGCGACGGGUAGCCGGCCUGGGAGGGUGGACGGCCACAUUGGGACUGAGAUACGGCCCAGACUACUACGGGAGGCAGCAGUGGGGAAUAUUGCACAAUGGGCGGAAGCCUGAUGCAGCGACGCCGCGUGGGGGAUGACGGCCUUCGGGUUGUAAACUCCUUUCGACCGCGAGGAAGCCACCUGGUUGGAAGGGUGGUGACGGUAGUGGUAGAAGAAGCACCGGCUAACUACGUG